CGGACGUCUUAACACAAAACGUAACCCUUCUAAAAGCCUCGCUUUUGAUCCUUUCAUUAGUGGUAUCUUCCAUACAAUCCACAACCCACCGGGAAGUCUUUUGGCUUUCCAAAGACCAAUUUGAAUUUAAACAUCACUCCAUUCUAUUGGCUUGGAAAAAGAUCCGUAUUAUCCUUGUUUAGCAUGAUGAGCUGUAUCUCUGGCGAAAGUACAAUCGUAGAAGGAUGUGCGUUGGUUACUCACGAGUCCAUAACGGAGGGAUGAGAAGAAAACCUCGAUAGGGUAUGGGUAGGGACAGAUAAUAAUAGUAUUCUCAGAGGAUCGCCUUGGGCGGAGGGGCAAUAUGAGUAUGAUUUUCGAAAACGAGGCGAGCAACAGGAGCAAGAAUGUCGAAGGAGGAGUUAAUGGUUGAAGAGCAUUGCAUGGUGAGAAUGCAACAACAGAGUUCUAUCACCGUCACAUCGAUUGUUAGCUACUGCUUCCAUCCCCGCCGUAGCAUAGAGCUCAU
rnacentral:sRNA from 1 species